GGAUGAGCAACCUGCUGGGAGUUGGCCAUUAGUUCCCUAGGAUGACGGCUGGCACAUCCUUCUCUUAUAGCUGUCUGCCUUGAAGUGGGAGCUGUCAGCCAACUGGGCCCUUUGACAACUGCCAGACUACACUCAAGGCAGACAAUCUACUUUGAACAGCUGUGUCCCUCUAAGGAAACCCCCUGCAGCUGCAAGAGACCCUGCAACCACAGGACUGAAAUUGUGCAGCACGGAAUCUGGUUGCCAUGACUAUGCCUGUGCAUAUAAAGGAUGAAGGAUAAGGGCUGCAAAACGACAGGAGCUACGGCCCUGGCUCUGAGGCAUUGGCUAGACUUCUGAUGAUUGAUCCCAGCCUCCCUCGAGGCACCAAGUCUAU
rnacentral:lncRNA from 1 species